rnacentral:rRNA from 1 species
CAGCCGCCACGGGAAUACGGAGGGCGCGAGCGUUACCCGGAUUUACUGGGCGUAAAGGGCGUGUAGGCGGCCUGGGGCGUCCCAUGUGAAAGGCCACGGCUCAACCGUGGAGGAGCGUGGGAUACGCUCAGGCUAGAGGGUGGGAGAGGGUGGUGGAAUUCCCGGAGUAGCGGUGAAAUGCGCAGAUACCGGGAGGAACGCCGAUGGCGAAGGCAGCCACCUGGUCCACUUCUGACGCUGAGGCGCGAAAGCGUGGGGAGCAAACCGGAUUAGAUACCCCAGUAGUCCCUGUCUCUUAUAC